UACGAAGGGGGCUAGCGUUGCUCGGAAUCACUGGGCGUAAAGGGUGCGUAGGCGGGUCUUUAAGUCCGGGGUGAAAUCCUGGAGCUCAACUCCAGAACUGCCUUUGAUACUGAGGAUCUUGAGUCCGGGAGAGGUGAGUGGAACUGCGAGUGUAGAGGUGAAAUUCGUAGAUAUUCGCAAGAACACCAGUGGCGAAGGCGGCUCACUGGCCCGGUACUGACGCUGAGGCACGAAAGCGUGGGGAGCAAAACGG
rnacentral:rRNA from 1 species